UACGAAGGGGGCUAGCGUUGCUCGGAAUCACUGGGCGUAAAGCGCACGUAGGCGGAUUGUUAAGUCAGGGGUGAAAUCCUGGAGCUCAACUCCAGAACUGCCUUUGAUACUGGCAAUCUCGAGUUCGGGAGAGGUGAGUGGAACUGCGAGUGUAGAGGUGAAAUUCGUAGAUAUUCGCAAGAACACCAGUGGCGAAGGCGGCUCACUGGCCCGAUACUGACGCUGAGGUGCGCAAGCG
rnacentral:rRNA from 1 species